GUGUGCAUUGUGUGUGCAAGGCAUGUCCACAAGAGUGUGCAUUGCACCUACACGUGAGCAACCAUGUGCGCACCCCUGCCUUGCACCCAUGCCCCACCACCCCCCCCGUGUUGCACGACGCCGUGCUCACACCUGUUGCACACCCACCACCAACGUGACCCCCACACUCACACUCACCACACCUCUCCUGCUGCUCUGCACGGGGAUGGGGAUGGUCCCAGUAAUGGUGACAAUCCCACUAAUGGUGAUGGUGAUAAUGGUGACAGUCCCAGUAAUGGUGACAGUGGUAACGGUGAGAGCCUCACUAAUGGUGACACAAUAAUGGUGACAAUCCCAGAAACGGUGAUGGUGGUAACGGUGACAGUCCCAGUAAUGGUGACAGUCCCAGUAAUGGUGACACAAUAAUGGUGACAAUCCCAGUAACGGUGAAGGUGAUAAUGGUGAGAGUCUCAGUAAUGGUGACAAUCCCAGUAACGGUGGCACAAUAAUGGUGACAAUCCCAGUGACGGUGAAGGUGAUAAUGGUGACAGUCCCAGUAAUGGUGACAAUCCCAGUGACGGUGACAGUGGUAAUGGUGACAGUCUCAGUAAUGGUGACACAAUAACGGUGACAGUCCCAGUAAUGGUGACAAUCCCAGUAAUGGUGACAGUCUUAGUGAUGGUGACGCAAUAAUGGUGACAACCUCAGAAAUGGUGACAAUCCCGGUAAUGGUGAAGGUGAUAACGGUGACAAUCCCAGUAAUGGUGACAAGCGCAGAAAUGGUGACAGUCCCAGUAAUGGUGACACAAUAAGGGUGACAACCUCAGAAAUGGUGACAAUCUCAGUAAUGGCGACACAAUAAUGGUGACAAUCCCAGUAAUGGUGACAGUGGUAAUGGUGACAAUCCCAGUAAUGGUGACGCAAAAUUGGUGACAGCAAUCCCAGAAACGGUGACAGCAGUGAUGGUGAUAGCGGUGACAGUGGUGAAAGUGACAAUCCCGGUGACGGUGACGAUCCUGGUGAACUUAACAAUGGGAGCGGUGAUAAUCCUGGUGACGGGGACGGGGACGGCGGGAACGGUGACAAACCCAGUAAUGGUGACAAUCCCGGUGACAGUGACAAUCCCAGUGAUGGUGACAGCCCCAGUGACGGUGACACCAGUAAUGGUGACAAACCCAGCAAUGGUGACAAUCCCAGUGAGUGACAGCCCCAGUGACGGUGACAGUGGUAAUGGUGACAAACCCAGUAAUGGUGACAAUCCCAGCAACGGUGACAAACCUAGCAGCGGUGACAAUCCUGGUGACAGUGACAAUCCCAGGAAUGGUGACAGCCCCAGUGACAGUGACAGCGGUAAUGGUGACAAACUCAGCAAUGUGACAAUCCCAGUGAUGGUGACAGUGACAAUCCCAGUGACAAACCUAGCAACAGUGACAAUCCCAGUGACAGUGACAAACCCAGCAGCGGUGACAAUCCCGGUGACAGUGACAGCCCCAGUGACGGUGACAGCGGUGACGGUGACAAUCCUGGUGACAGCGGCAAUCCCAGGAACGGUGACAGUGACAAUCCCAGUGAUGGUGACAGCCCCAGGGACAGUGACAGCGGUAACGGUGACAAACCCAGUGAUGGUGACAGUGACAAUCCCAGUGACAAACCUAGCAGCGGUGACAAUCCCGGUGACAGCGGCAAUCCCAGUGACGGUGACAAUCCCGGUGACGGUGACGGCAGGAACGGUGACAAACCCAGCAAUGUGA
rnacentral:lncRNA from 1 species